GCGUGAUUGCCAUCGUCGACUGCGCUGCCUUCCCGGCACUCUUCGACCUUUCCCUGGUAGAUAAGAGGGAUGUGCUUGUUGGAGACUUCAUGCCCAGCACCGACUUCACCGGUGGCAUGCGGGUAAUGGUCUACAUGGAUCCCUCCGAGCAGACGCAUACCGCCGGAAAAGCCUUCUGCAUCGAUCUUCUCAAGCGAAGGGCUCGAGUGUGGGUGUCGGAGUUCCUCCUGAGCACCGAUGUCAUGCUGACGACGAUCGAGAAGGAAUUGUCGGGGAGCAACAACGGGAGCGCUGGCUUGCUGCUUCCCCUGCAGAAGUGCAUCUUCUCCUUUCUGUGCAAAAGCUUGAUAGGGGCCGACCCGGCGACUUCUCCUGAGAUCGCCGACUGCGGCUUUGCCAUGUUGGACGAGUGGCUCUCUCUGCAGCUACUUCCCACCGUCAGUAUCGGGGUCCUCCAGCCGCUGGAGGAAGUCUUCCUCCACUCCUUUGCCUACCCAUUCGCCCUCGUGAAGGGCAAGUACCAUAAGCUUUACAACUUCCUGGAGAAGGAAGGAAGUGAGGUCAUUGGGAUGGCCACCAGCGAGUACGGCCUCAGCAAGGAAGCGGCGCUCCACAAUCUUCUCUUCGUCCUGGGGUUCAACGCCUUCGGGGGUUUCUCCAUCUUCCUCCCGACAAUAAUCACCACCCUUGGGACAGACACCGCAGGGCUCCAGGGACGCCUCCGAGCAGAGGUCCACCGAGUGCUGGCCGGAGGGCGCCAGCUCGGGUUCGACACGAUCAGGGAGAUGGAGCUGGUU
rnacentral:lncRNA from 1 species